rnacentral:ncRNA from 1 species
ACUUACAUGCUGUAAGUUUUAUGCGGAAAUCCAACCGCGUACGGCCUAGAACGCCGUUUUUCUAUAAGGAGAAAUUAAAUG